UUUCUACUCCCUCCAUCCGAAAAUACUUGUCAUCAAAAUGGAUAAAAAGAGAUGUAUCUAAAACUAAAAUACGUCUAGAUACAUUUCUUUUUAUCCAUUUUGAUGACAAGUAUUUCCGGACGGAGGGAGUAUUUG
rnacentral:pre_miRNA from 1 species